rnacentral:rRNA from 1 species
AUGCGGAGGAUGCAAGCGUUAUCCGGAUUUAUUGGGUUUAAAGGGUGCGUAGGCGGUUUGCUAAGCGGGAGGUGAAAUGCCGGCGCUCAACGUCGGAAGUGCCUCCCGAACUGGUGGACUUGAAUGACUCUGCCGUGGGAGGAAUGUGUAGUGUAGCGGUGAAAUGCUUAGAGAUUACACAGAACACCGAUUGCGAAGGCAUCUCACGAAGGGUUGAUUGACGCUGAGGCACGAAAGCGUGGGGAUCAAACAGGAUUAGAUACCCUGGUAGUCCACGCAGUAAACGAUGAUGGCUAACCGCUGGAUCCAUCGGUUCAGUGGCCAAGCGAAAGCGAUAAGCCAUCCACCUGGGGAGUACGACCGCAAGGUUGAAACUCAAAUGAAUUGACGGGG